GAUGAAGAACGUAGCGAAAUGCGAUAAGUAAUGCGAAUUGCAGAAUCCGUGAAUCAUCGAAUCUUUGAACGCACAUUGCGCCCCUUGGUAUUCCAUGGGGCAUGCCUGUUCGAGCGUCAUUUGUACCCUCAAGCUUUGCUUGGUGUUGGGCGUCUUGUCGUAUUACGACUCGCCUUAAAUACAUUGGCAGCCGGCACUUUGGCCUAGGAGCGCAGCACAUUUUGCGAUCGUAGCCCGUUGUACUGGCGUCCAUCAAGAACAUUUACCACGUUUGACCUCGGAUCAGGUAGGGAUACCCGCUGAACUUAAGCAUAUCAAUAAGCGGAGGA
rnacentral:misc_RNA from 1 species